rnacentral:lncRNA from 1 species
AUGGAUAUUACAUUAAGAUACUGAGGUUUACAUUGUUAGUGCACAGAUCUAAAAGGACUGAGCUUUUGUUGCUUAAAGAGAAAUGAGUUUCUCAAGGCACUCAACUCUCAAACUGCUAACAACAGAUCAGCCUUACAGUGCUCCUCAAGACUCAGUUCUGCAGCCCAUAGCUUAGAGUCAAGAAUGGGAAACCGGGGCAAUAAGGGAGCAAAAACAUUCUCCUUACUUUUUGUUUCUGGGUCAUCUUAAUUGAUCCCAGCAGACUUACCCAUUGUUGGUCUACCUCAAUCAACCCACCUACAUCCUCACCUGGAGGAACUUGUCUCUUUCCUAGCAGCUGAGGCAAUACCUUUGGGGAUGAAAAGGUUUCCUCUAUUACUCCAGGGAAUUUUUUAACCUCAUCAUUGCUGUGUACAUUGCUGGGUAGUCACCAUCAUGAACAAAUGACAAAUCAACGCUUACACCUCCCCAACUACCACAUGUUCGUUUAUACUGCUAGAAAUAUAAUGUUUCAGGUGUUUGCUUUUCUCCAGAGCACACCUUUACAAGCUGUUCAAGUGGCCUGUACAGUUCAAGGGAGCUUGCUGAGCAUUGCCAGCAAUAUUCAGCACCAGAGGGUAGGGAACUGAGCAGUGCAUCCUGCCACACACAAGGCAGCAGCUGUACUGGAUAGAGCACUCAGUCCUAGCUGUGUAACCACUAACUGCAGCCAGUAAGUAUUCCUCUAGCUUCCUUGGCACUUCUAACAUCUGAAGGUUUAAUGCUUACAUGUAAAGUGUUAAAUUUUUACAUUCUUCUGCUUCCCAUAGCCACACAGUUCACACGAGUCAUUUACGUUCACCUAGCUAAGAUGAAAAAAAAAAUUUAAUAUUGUUUUUAUCAGUUAUGAAGAUGCUAACAAACAGGGCUUAGGAUUUCUCAGAGGGAGGUAUCUGUGUUUGUGUUGUUUCUGUCUUCAGAUAAGCUUUUACAUUUUUGUGUAGAUAAGCUUUAACUUCUUUGUGUUUUUGAAGUCUAUUUAGUAUAGUGAGCUUGGUUUCGUGCUACUCCAGUUCAGGCAGCAAUCGUAUUGAAAAGAUGAAAGGCAGAAACAAUCAUAGCUUUUGAGUCAUCGUAGCUUUUAAAGUAGUAAUGUAGCCAGCUUCUUGCUUCACCAAGAUGACACUCAGAGCCAGUAAAAGCUUCAAGAAGAAAUGGAAGCCUAUCCCAAGCAUGGAACAGAACUGUGUUGUUCACUAAUGAUGCCUGCUUGCAACACUUAGCUUAUAAGUGGUUACUGAAACUGAAAGCUCCCAAUUCCACAUCUGAUGCAUUGACCCCCUGUGAAACAGUGAGUUAGUGAGUUCUGACAUGCAUUAGAAAGCUGAAAACUGAUUGCAUAUGACAAAUCU